rnacentral:rRNA from 1 species
UACAGAGGUCUCGAGCGUUAGGCGGAAUCACUGGGCUUAAAGCGUGUGUAGGCGGGUCGUUAAGUACCUUGUGAAAUCCCAUGGCUCAACCAUGGAACUGCUGGGUAUACUGGCGAUCUUGUGCAACCUAGGGGCGAGCGGAACAGAUGGUGGAGUGGUGAAAUGCGUAGAUAUCAUCUGGAACGCCAAUGGUGAAAACAGCUCGCUGGGGGUUUGCAGACGCUGAGACACGAAAGCCAGGGGAGCGAACGGG